rnacentral:rRNA from 1 species
AGCGAACGCUGGCGGCAGGCUUAACACAUGCAAGUCGAGCGGGCGUAGCAAUACGUCAGCGGCAGACGGGUGAGUAACGCGUGGGAACGUACCUUUUGGUUCGGAACAACACAGGGAAACUUGUGCUAAUACCGGAUAAGCCCUUACGGGGAAGGAUUUAUCGCCGAAAGAUCGGCCCGCGUCUGAUUAGCUAGUUGGUGAGGUAAUGGCUCACCAAGGCGACAAUCAGUAGCUGGUCUGAGAGGAUGAUCAGCCACAUUGGGACUGAGACACGGCCCAAACUCCUACGGGAGGCAGCAGUGGGGAAUAUUGGACAAUGGGCGCAAGCCUGAUCCAGCCAUGCCGCGUGAGUGAUGAAGGCCCUAGGGUUGUAAAGCUCUUUUGUGCGGGAAGAUAAUGACGGUACCGCAAGAAUAAGCCCCGGCUAACUUCGUGCCAGCCGCCGCAGUAAAAC